UACGAAGGGGCUAGGCGUUGUUCGGAAUUACUGGCGUAAGGCGCAACGCAGCGGAGUUGAUAAGUCGGGGGUGAAAUCCCGGGGCUCAACCUCGGAAUUGCCUUCGAUACUGUUAGUCUUGAGUCCGGGAGAGGUGAGUGGAAUUCCUAGUGUAGAGGUGAAAUUCGUAGAUAUUAGGAAGAACACCAGUGGCGAAGGCGGCUCACUGGCCCGGUACUGACGCUCAUGUGCGAAAGCGUGGGGAGCAAACAGG
rnacentral:rRNA from 1 species